AGAGAGAGAGAGAGAGAGAGAGAGAGACAGAAUCCAAAGCAGGCUCCAGGCUCUGAGCUGUCAGCACAGAGCCUGAUGUGGGGCUUGAACUCCCAAGCCGUGAGAUCAUGACUUGAGCCCAAGUGGAUGCCCAACCGACUGAGCCACCCAGGUGCCCUGAGCCAGAUAUAUUUUUAAGUGAAUAGUUAAAAAAUUUUUUUCUUAGAAGAUAGUAUACUGAAUCUCCAGAAUGAAUAUAAUUUCUCUCGAGGGUCAAGAUAACUACUAUUACAUAACAUGGAUAUAUUAAUAUUUUAAACAUACUGAAUAUUACAAUAUGUAAAAUAAAGACUAUAAAUAGCUUCUAUUAGUUCACAUCAGGUUUUCUACCACUUGAAUUCAGGUCUGGUUACUUCUGGGGGCAAAUGAAUUAUUUACAAAGUUUCCAUUUUAGAGCUUUUUUGGAUUUCAAAAUUGAGAGAGUAAGGGCUGGUGGAUUUGUAUCGCCUGGGAGCACACUACAUCAGUGGCUUACUCCUUAGUAGUUGACCACUGCUGGUUCUGCACUUGGAGCCACGGUAAGUGGGUUCACAUUCCAGGAUACACGGACAGACUUUGGCAAGCCUUGGUGAGACUUUCAGCCUGAGUUUUCUGAAUGAACAUUUUAAGGAGAAAGAAUUUCCACUGUGUACCACGUUAUGGUUCAGAUGAUUUUCUAGGGGGAGGUAUUUUGUCAUUCAAAAUCAAUAUGUGCUAGAAAAAAAAAAAACCUUCUUAUCUCCCACUAGUUCCAGUGCAUUAAUUCCAUCUGCCUCACGGCACAGCCUCUCAGAUCUGUUAUCUAGGGGGUCUGGAGUCCUGGCUUGGGGUGAAAUUAUAUCCUAUAAAAUGGAAUUGAGUCAAGCUGUGAUAUAUUUGAAUCCUAUUGAGAACUAGAUUAUAUGGUCAAUGGCAGCUCACAAGCAUGUUUUAAUCACCAAGCGCUGUGGUGCUGACCUGACAGCACUUGUGGAAAUCUCUGGCCCAUGUCCCUGGGGAAAACGAGAGCUUCAUUGUGCCCACAAUUUUUUUCCUCAUGAAUAGGACAUGUCAUAGUGACUCAUCAAAUGGCACUUUAUGAAAUAAUUGUAGGAGUAGUACCUACCUGUCAUGAAAUAUUUGUACAAGUAAAGGAUAGACAAACACUUCCAUAAGUAUACGGAGCUAAAAAACAAAGGAAAAGCCCCUUAAUGCCACUGUCCCAUUCCAUCCCUUCUAUCCUCCUCAAGGAGGAGGGGUGAUACCAGUGAUAGCAAUUUGGUGUGUGUCACGCGACACCUCUCCUUUGUCACCACGUGUGUACACACACAAACACACAUGGUCGUACCUAUAAACAAAUGGGUCAUACUCUUCAGAUUGUUUUUAGCAAUUCCUCAGAGACAUCUCUUGGACACUACUAUCCUUUUGAUGUCCGCAGAGCAUUCAGUCCCCUAGUGAAAAACCUGUAGGUAAUUUGGGGAGUGUUAUAAACUAUGCUUUAAUAACCUUCCUUAUUCAUUUAUUUUUGGGCAGAUAUGUGUGUUUUUAUGGACUAGAUAGAAAAAGGUUCAUGGUUUUUGGUUUAUCUCUAAGGUCUUACUCUCAACAAUUGCUUUUAGUCAGUCUAAAUGUCAGCAUUGUCCUCUGUCCUUCUGUUUAUCUAGAAAGCCAUCUGGGGCACUGGUCAUCUUUGCUGGACACAUGGUGUCUCUUGCAGUGAGGAUGGGGGGCAUACAAACAGGAGAGUUGUUUAUGUUUACAGCCUUUGAUACUUUUGACUUUGUCUGCCAGCUACUAACUGAGUGUUGUGUUCUUUUAUUCCCAUAUAUAGGAUAGGUCAGAUAAAGUAAGAACUUGCCUUAGUUAUGUACAUUGUUACAAGCUUUUUGGAGAGCUCUUGACAAUAUCUACUGAAAUUUAAAAUGUUCAUGCCUUUUGAUCCUGCAAUUCUGCUGCUACACGGUACUAUAGAAAUAACCUUAUUUUGAGACCUGAAAGAUUUUGUUCAGAUAUGAAUCUCAGAAACUUACAGGAAACUUAUUAUUUAAAUAGUUCCUUCAAUGGAGUGAAUGUUUGUGUCCCCCCCCCCAAAUUUGUAUGUUGAAAUGCUACCCCCUAAUGUGAUGGUAUUAGAAGCUUUAAAAAUCCUGUGAUCUGACCCUAUUUUCAUAAUUUUUACUAAUACAAGUCAGUUGGUAGACAUACAGCCAAACUAAGAAACAGGUUGUACUUCUGAACAGGAAAAAAUGGCUAUUAACUUUUAAAUGUAAAUAUGCAGUAUUUUCCCAUAGAAUUGAUGCUACUAAAUAUUAUUUAAGACAGUGUAGUACUUGUUGAACACAGGCGCUAUAGUGGAAACUACGGGUCCGGAGAGAAAUGAGAUAGAGCGCUUGUCCUCAAGGAAAUUACCAUUUCCAGAGUAGGAACAAGUUCAUGCAUGUUUUCCUUGUCUGGUAACCUGUCACGUCACUUGUCUCUGGCCCAGCUGCAGCUUACAGGAUGAUCCUGUACCUUCUCUUCCUGGCACUUACUGCAUCUUGAGGGAGACGGAUGUAUCUCAGAGGAUCCCCGGUUUUGGGGCUGGAUGCAAUGAACAGAGAUCCAGGUUCCAGGCAGAAGAACAGGUUUUCAUUCUUCAGACCUGUUAGCACUUCAGUGGUGAAUACAGAAGACAAAAUUAGUACAGAUCAAGUAACAUGGAAAAGAAAAAAGAGACAGCACUAGAUACAGAAGCAGACAACAGGAGGAGAAAACUCAGGCCUUGGCAAAAGCCACACUACCGAACAGCAAAAGUAAGCCCUGAGGAGGUACUUUCCUCAGGGUCCUUCGGCGGAUUGCUGGACUUGGAUGCUCUACUUCCUAAUGGAGGAUGUGCACAGCAAAACCGUGUUUAAUGAACUGUAGGUGGAAACCUUCUCCUUCCCGCUGAUGCAAUGCUGUACGUUGAAUGCUCACAGAGCACCACAAUCCGAAGGAGUCAAGGCCCUCCCAAGGAGCCCUGGGCAACCCCAAGGAGGAAGAGGGGCAAAUCUAGGGAGAGGGUUCCCCCUCUCCCCUACCCAUUCUCGGCUUAGAAGAAUUUAUAGUUCACACAGGAGGAGUGUGAGACACAAAAGUGAGGACGACACCCUAUUUACAGGUGUGGUCUGGGAGACUGAAGUGGAAAGUACGGGAAGACGUCCUUAUACAAAGUGAACACUGUGUGGAUUGGGCUGUGUCCCUGUGUUUUGAAAGGCCUGCCUGUUGCUCUGAAUGCAAACUGCUGGCCAUGGUGCAGGCAUAGGGGGUUCUUUAGGAGGCAGCACUUGGCACAAAGUCCUCACUGAUCCCUUUGAUUGGUGAGAGCAGAGCAGACGGAGGGGGUUGGGGCUGAGGAGGCUGCAGUUUGUUCCCAUGCCCAGAAGGGACCUAACUUCGGUCCGAAGGAAGUCUGCUCCCUUAUCAACAGAAUGAGGUAGCUUUGUCCUAUCAGUUUUCCCCUGUGUUGGCACUCAAUUUUCAUAAUACAGUUUGUAAUGUGAUAAGGUCUACACAUUAUUAAUAGUAGCAAUAGUAUGGCAAGAUUAUUCCUAUGCAGUUUUGGUAAAGAACAAAGGGCCGGGCUGCCGAUGAAGUAUAAUUACCUAGGAUUUUAGAACCAGGGCACAACAUGUUCCUCUUUUUCAAGUAUCUGCAGACUGUUUACUAAAAAAAUGCUUCUCUUGGAGAGAA